UUACAGAGCAUGGGAGAAGACUGCAAGUUCUCCACUAUGAAGUUGGGUAGAAAUAUGAGCCUCAUUAUGACUAUUUUCUUGAUGAGUUCAACACUAAAAAUGGGGCCAACGGAUAGCGACACUACUCAUGUAUUUGUCAAAUGUAGAAGAAGGGGGUGAGACUAUCUUUCCUGUAGCUAAGGGAAAUUUUAGUGUUGUGCCGUGGUGGAAUGAGUUGUCUGAAUGCGGUAAAAAAGGCCUUUCUGUCAAGCCAAGGAUGGCGACGCUUUGUUUUUUGAAUCGGUAAAUGUCCUAGUGUUUCUGUUCCAUUAAUGGAAUGAAAUUAUUACUGGUGAGAUCUUCCAGUUUUCAGGCCAAGGUCCUCAAGAACUCACCCAUUUGACACAGGACAUUAAGAGGUCUUUGUUUGUCAGGAAGACUGAAAGAAGCAAUUGGGUUUACUCUGGCGUGCAGGAUUACAGUUCAUCGGGAAUUAUCAAGAAACCAUUGGCAUCAAGACUGGGUGGGGUGCGGGUAAGGGAAAACUUAUUUUUUUCUUUCUCAUGUUCUCUAUCAAAUGAAAUUAGAUUAGUGAAGUUUAAAUGACCAAAAGAUGAAUUUAUUAUUUAUGUAAAUUUAGAAUAUCGUACUGGUUUUCCAUGACAUCAUCAAAUUUUGGAUUUUCUAUACCUUUAAAGCGCUCAAGUUUUAUUAGUGGAUGGUACUCAACAGUUUGAAUUUUGAUACAAUUUAAAAGCUUUGCUUUUGACUGCCAGAUUUUUUAUUGAUUUCUGUAUCAGCGCACUAUAGUGAUGAAACUCCUCUACUAUGAUGAUGUCAUGGUAUGCGUUUCAGUUAAUUAGAUUUUUGU